ensembl:snoRNA SNORD15 Small nucleolar RNA SNORD15
CUUCAGUGAAGAGGAGAUGAUGAAUCUGAAAGGGAAUAUUCCUGUCCAAGUGCCCUGUUCCAUGUUGUGCAGCAUGGAUUUGGGAAUCUUGGGUCUCAGUUGGAGUGACUUGGGACAUACAUGUUUGAGAAGG